UGAAAACCACUGCACUGUGUAAGCCAAGUAAUCCAGUGGCAGCAGGAGAUGGGUGCCUGACUUUCUGAUCCUGGAGCCUGACCUGCUGGGUUCUUGGUACAUCUCUCCUAGCCUGGAGCUUGGCACGCGGUCCCGGGGGAGGUCACACCGAGGAACAUGGACGCAUCUCCCUCUACACAGACCCAGAGCUGCAGGACAAGAACCACGACGACGGGAGAGCAGCUCACCCGAGCCCCGCUGAGCCCUGACCUGUGUAGACGUGCGCGGUGGUCUCAGAGGGCAAGGCGCUCCUUGGUUCUGAGCACCUCAGAUGGCUUCUCUUUGCUCCAGUUCCCAAGCCUGAUCUAAGAAUGGCUUUCCGGUCUAAAGGAUUCAAGGCAGACUUUAAAAAUGAAACUCCUAUGAAGCCUAUCCGAGAGUGUCCACCAGAAUGAGACCCCACCCUUCCAGGAAUAUUUCCUUCCAUCGGGGCUGGAGCGCCUCACUGCUGCAGAUAGCCGCUGAACAUUCAGAAACACCGUUCCUUCACCUCUGAGUUAUGUGACGAGGCUUUGCUUCGCUACUUCCCAAGCCCAUGGGGUUCUGAAGUUCAGACUCCUGUGGUAGACUCUGUCUGCUUUCGCCGUAUCCCCCUGCAGUCGUGUCCCCAGGCCGGGUGCUCCGCGGGGACCAUGCGGCCUCGGUGGUGGAUGCCUGUGUCAGGCAGGUCGCCAUGCUUCAGAAAGUGAGGCUGGAAGGGGUAGUGACCCGGGGCCGGGACGGCUGCUGUGACUUCUGGUAUAGCUGUGCCUCACAGGGCUAUGGCCAUCAGCAGUGAUUCAACCGUCAUUUGCAUUUUAAAAAAUGACCCCAGGCUCUAAACCUCAGUACAGCUGGGAACUGUAAGAGUAAGAAUAAAGCUAUGUGUGUAAGUCA